AAGCAUUGUGUUUUUGGAUGGUUCAUGUGGUUUUUAGUUCGCGUUCUUGUCGAUGUCAUAGCUUGGAUAGCUACCGCCUCAUAAAUGGAAGGUUUGCAAUCCCCUUCUCCAAACGAAUUGUAAGCUCAGUCUUCAAAUCAGAUAAAACUGUGGACGCAUCCUGGUAUUCAUGGAACGUGCCUUCUGCACUUCACAUUAACAUCAGAACGGAAAGUGACUAAAACAUAAAAGUUGAAUGAGAUGAAAUCCUCUAUGAGAUGGAUAAUCUGUCAUUUUGUAAAUUUUUUAAUUCCUAAAUUUUAUAUCCGUUUUAAAAUUCCAUCAGAAAGAAACAAGGGUAUGUCUACCAGAUCAAUUGCUAGACUGAUAUUAGGACUUGCAAAACGAUUACCUUAGCACCUAAUCAUUUACGAGCCGCUUUAAUUCUCAAGCAAUCCUACUACCUGUUGGAGGAUUCAAAUGCAUUUGGUAAUACAGCUUUGCAAUUGGUCACACACUCCCGCGUCAUUCCUCACCCGUUUUGGAAUUGGGGUAAUCGUAGCUUGCUGAGCCAAGAGUUUCAACAGUUACAUUUGUCGUAGUGUACUUCAGGUAAUGGAAUUCGUGUGGUUGUUCGAGGAGUGAGCGUCCUCAGGGGUUAGAGAGGCAGGUUUAGAUUAAUAACUGCAGUAAUGGUCACCGCAAAGAUGAGCUGAUU
rnacentral:lncRNA from 1 species